rnacentral:rRNA from 1 species
UGCAGUCGAGCGGAGAAAUGGGAGCUUGCUCCCAUUUCUCAGCGGCGGACGGGUGAGUAACACGUGGGCAACCUGCCCUACAGACUGGGAUAACUCCGGGAAACCGGAGCUAAUACCGGGUAAUACAUAGCAUCGCAUGAUGCAACGUUGAAAGUUGGCCUUUGGCUAACACUGUAGGAUGGGCCCGCGGCGCAUUAGCUAGUUGGUAAGGUAACGGCUUACCAAGGCCACGAUGCGUAGCCGACCUGAGAGGGUGAUCGGCCACACUGGGACUGAGACACGGCCCAGACUCCUACGGGAGGCAGCAGUAGGGAAUCUUCCGCAAUGGACGAAAGUCUGACGGAGCAACGCCGCGUGAGUGACGAAGGCCUUCGGGUCGUAAAGCUCUGUUGUUAGGGAAGAACAAGUACCGUUCGAAUAGGGCGGUACCUUGACGGUACCUAACCAGAAAGCCACGGCUAACUACGUGCCAGCAGCCGCGGUAAUACGUAGGUGGCAAGCGUUGUCCGGAAUUAUUGGGCGUAAAGCGCGCGCAGGCGGUCUCUUAAGUCUGAUGUGAAAGCCCACGGCUCAACCGUGGAGGGCCAUUGGAAACUGGGGGACUUGAGUGCAGAAGAGGAGAGUGGAAUUCCACGUGUAGCGGUGAAAUGCGUAGAUAUGUGGAGGAACACCAGUGGCGAAGGCGGCUCUCUGGUCUGUAACUGACGCUGAGGCGCGAAAGCGUGGGGAGCGAACAGGAUUAGAUACCCUGGUAGUCCACGCCGUAAACGAUGAGUGCU